rnacentral:rRNA from 1 species
AACGUAGGUUCCGAGCGUUAUCCGGAUUUACUGGGCGUAAAGCGCGUUCAGGCGGUUUGGCAAGUCGGGCAUGAAAUCUCUCGGCUCAACCGGGAGAGGUUGUCCGAUACUGCUGGACUUGAGGGCAGUAGAGGGUGGUGGAAUUCCCGGUGUAGCGGUAAUAUGCGUAGAUAUCGGGAGGAACACCAGUGGCGUAGGCGGCUGUCUGGGGUCUUGCUGACGCUGAGGCACGAAAGCCAGGGGAGCGAACGGG